rnacentral:rRNA from 1 species
CAGCCGCCGCGGGAAUACAGAGGGUGCGAGCGUUAAUCGGAUUUACUGGGCGUAAAGCGUGCGUAGGCGGCUUCUUAAGUCGGAUGUGAAAUCCCUGAGCUUAACUUAGGAAUUGCAUUCGAUACUGGGAAGCUAGAGUAUGGGAGAGGAUGGUAGAAUUCCAGGUGUAGCGGUGAAAUGCGUAGAGAUCUGGAGGAAUACCGAUGGCGAAGGCAGCCAUCUGGCCUAAUACUGACGCUAAGGUACGAAAGCAUGGGGAGCAAACAGGAUUAGAUACCCCAGUAGUCCCUGUCUCUUAUAC